rnacentral:lncRNA from 1 species
UCAGUAGCCAGCAGCAUACCUGGCGCAGAGUAGAUGCUCAGUAAAUGUUUGUAAGAGCUGACCUUGAAAUUGGCGAUAUGGAUGACUGGGAAUCUUUCAAAUUUCAUUACUCCAGACAGGAGGUUCCAUCAUUAGCCAGUAUCCAGCUCCAUGCCCGGCAUCUAGUCACACCUAGUAAACAUUUGGACUUAAGCCCCUGACAACGUCUGCUCUGGCUUUUCCUUUUCAGAAGAAUCGUCAGGGCCUGGAAAAGGCCCCGCUUUGCACACCCUCUCCUGCAGCGGAAGGACCAGAUGGGACUAUUGACUACCUCAGGGAGCUCCGAGUUCUAGCCUCUUGGCUCUUAUCCUUACUCUCAUACAAUUCCUCACUGGAUUGUCAUACAAAUUCAUGCUCUCCACGCUUUUUUCUCCUGCACAUCCCUGGCUCUUGCCCCAGUGAUUAUAUUUAGCAGCUCUCGUUCCCAGGCUUCGAUAUCUGUGGGGCUCUCACAGCCAAGGAAAAAGUUCUGGGGCUGCUAUUUGUUGUAAAGGCCGCGUUUAUAUCCAUCCCCACAGCGCCCGCCAGCCUGCGGCUGACACCGCCCCGCCUUCCCCUCCCUCUCUGAGCGGCUCUUUGAGCCAUGGGAACAGCGGUCCACGCCUAAACAGAGGGUGAGCAAACAGACGGGGCUGCAUUUAUGGGGGUUUCUUUAGCACCAUCUGCCGCCUCCACAGA